GACGAACGCUGGCGGCGUGCUUAACACAUGCAAGUCGAACGGAAGGGCCCUGCUUUUGUGGGGUGCUCGGGUGGCGAACGGGUGAGUAACACGUGAGUAACCUGCCCUUGACUUUGGGAUAACUUCAGGAAACUGGGGCUAAUGCCGGAUAGGAGCUCCUGCUGCAUGGUGGGGGUUGGAAAGUUUCGGCGGUUGGGGAUGGACUCGCGGCUUAUCAGCUUGUUGGUGGGGUAGUGGCUUACCAAGGCUUUGACGGGUAGCCGGCCUGAGAGGGUGACCGGCCACAUUGGGACUGAGAUACGGCCCAGACUCCUACGGGAGGCAGCAGUGGGGAAUAUUGCACAAUGGGCGGAAGCCUGAUGCAGCAACGCCGCGUGCGGGAUGACGGCCUUCGGGUUGUAAACCGCUUUCGCCUGUGACGAAGCGUGAGUGACGGUAAUGGGUAAAGAAGCACCGGCUAACUACGUG
rnacentral:rRNA from 1 species